CACACACACACACACACACACACACACACACACACACACAAAACAGAUUCUGAGAUUGAUGAACUGAAUCCUGUAGAAGCAGCAGCACUUCUGUAAGUGUCUCUGGAUAAGGAAAAUGAAAUUGUGUAGUUUCCACUAGAGGUGUGAUUUCUGAGGUCUUUUCUCUUUAGGAGGAAGAUGUGGAGAGAACGUGAUUACUGAAGGACGUCCGGACUGUAAGAGAAAGCAGAAGGAUCAGACUGAACCUGAUGUUACUUACUCUACUGUAACCCACGUGAACACAGCCGGAGCAGCACGGGUCCAGAUCAACGCUGGAGACAAAACUGAAUAUGCCAGCAUUCUAACAAUCUAAUCCACAGUAAAUAUCUAGAAUAAUACUGAAUACAUGCAGUAUAUUAAAUACACACCAUGGUAAGCACAGGA